AUGUGGGUUUUUUUUUUUUGGAUAUCUGCACCCUGGCAGGCAGCAGCUACGGGCACGCGUGGCCCCCUUGGCACACGGAUACCAUGGUGCAAGAAGGCACGGCGCAGACACCCCAAACCAGCACCUUCCCCAUUAUUUGCAUUAUUUGCAUGCGCGCAGAGCUGGGGCAACGCCACGCAGCCCCGUUGUGCUGAGCUGGGCUGGAUGUCCCCGUGCUGGGUCACUGCCCUGUCCCCAUGCUGCGGGGACUCGAGGUCAGGCCCUGCCCGGAGGCAAAGCUCAGAGCACUGCGCCAGGAGAGGGCACAAAGCUCAGAGCACUGCAGCCAGGGCAGCAGCAGGGCACGGAGCCAGCCCCGGAGCAGAGCUGGAUCAUUUCUCCUCUGCUGCACGAGCCGACAGCCCCAGGAGCUGCCCUGGCACCGCCCGGGGGCUCGCCCUCCCCAUCUCCAUCCAGUCAGGAGCUGCGUCUCCAAAGCGGCACCGGUCAGAGCGCCCCAGCCCCAGGAAUUGGUUUGGGAGGAGGGGGCAAGGAGAGAAAUUCCCCAUCCAAAAUGCAGGAUCUGGCUGGCCUCCGUUCAACCGAGUGCCACCACACAGUCCCUGCAUGCAGGGCCACCAAAUCCCAAAGGGGAGCUCAUCUCCAAGCCCCCUGCCACGGCACAGCCACCCCUCUCCUCCUCCCACCACCUCUGCCCCCACCAGCCGUGCUCAUGGACACCCCAAAAUAAACAGGGAUCAGCUGUCAGAGCCAUCAGCUUGCACACACACCCUGCAGCAGAGGUGUGACCAGGGAAGGCCGACCAGGAAUUUGGGAAUUCGGACACCUGCGGGGCAGGUGCUGCAGCCAGGACCUCGAUGGGUUCGGGGUUUGGCUGGAGAGGAUGCUCCCUGUGCCUGCCAAAGGGUGUGGGGUCCAUGGGGCAGAAAUAGCCCAGCCUGGCUGCCCUCCCACCCCAAAGGGACACCACAAGGCCAGCAGCAGAGCCAGACCUCCCUACAGAGAUGCAGCCAGCCCCAUAUCAUCACACCCAAGCUCCUCGACCUCCCUGUCCCCCGUUUUUCACCCCCCAGGAGCCUCUGGAGCUGCUUUAGCAAAGCACCCAAGGAGGGUGCAGACGCGUUUGCAUUCAACCUGGGGUGCAGAGGAGGAGUCAGCACCCAAAACCUCAGCUGCCUGCAAGCAGAGGGAAGGCAGCAAACUGGUUUCUUGCUUCUCACACCAGUAACCCCAUUUCCCCCUCGAUCCCAGGGUGUGGGGUACCAGCAUCGCCGCCACCUUGAGAGCCCCCAAACACCACCCUGUGGAAAUUCCCAGGCAUUUUUUAGCCUCUUCCCUUCAGGUUCAGCCACCUCCUGUCCCCCAGAGACCUUUCCCGACCCUAAUUCCACACCGCCACAACCAGUUCCCCCAGUUAGGUAG
rnacentral:lncRNA from 1 species